rnacentral:rRNA from 1 species
UACGUAGGGUGCAAGCGUUAAUCGGAAUUACUGGGCGUAAAGCGUGCGCAGGCGGUUUUGUAAGCCAGAUGUGAAAGCCCCGGGCUUAACCUGGGAACUGCGUUUGUGACUGUAGGACUUGAGUGUGGCAGAGGGGGGUGGAAUUCCGCGUGUAGCAGUGAAAUGCGUAGAUAUGUGGAGGAACACCGAUGGCGAAGGCAGCCCCUGGGCCGAUACUGACGCUCAUGCACGAAAGCGUGGGGAGCAAACAGGAUUAGAAACCCUGGUAGU